CCGGCCAUCGUGGUAAUGUUCAGUGUCAUCCAGCAAAAAAAAUGACAGCAAAAAAUUAUUUGAAGAGCAAGCCUCAGCUGGGACUAUCUCGCAGGUUACCACGCCUUCCCGAGUCCUUCACCGCCCUGUCCCCACUCAGCCCCCCGGCACGGCCGUUGCCUGCAUCCGACUGUUUCAACAGCAGCCGCUCUGGAAAAGGGACGCAUACAGCCAUCACAAAUGAGCACCCAGGAAUUCACGAGGCCUGGGGUGAGGCAUGUGAAUGGUUUGCAGUCAGAAAAUCUGUUCCCAGAGACACGGUGGGGGACAGGCUUCCCCAGGCUUAGAAUGCUAUAGCUGAGAAGGGCGUCCCUGUCCGGGGAUGACAUCACCAGACGGAGCUGGAAUGCACAGAUGCGGAAGGCUGGGGCCCCGGGGCCAGGGGGGAGCGUGGCUGUGAGAUCACAAAGGGUCUUUUGACUACCCUUCGUCCCCGGGAAAACCACAGAGCCCCGGCUUUAAGUCGCCCCCGCCUCCACUUGAGGGGUCCGAAGACACCCUCCUCCAGUGAGACGGUGACCUUUGAUCCCAUUUCUAGGCUCGCCCCCAGAUCGAACAGUGCAGUGACUAAGAGCAGGGGUUCCAGAGGGCAUUGACAAAGGUUGCAAAUCCAGCUUUGCCAGGAACUAGCUGCACAGCCUUGGGAAGAAGUUGCAUGCUCCUGGGACACAGUCUCUUUAAUUGCAUGGUAUGGAGGGGAAACGAGGUGACAGAAAGGCCUGAUGCUCGUGUUGGUCCAGCCAGAAGACAGUGGGGACAGAGGAGAAGAACAGAGGGAGAAGGCCACGGAGCGCAAAGAACCAGGCACAGCUCUGAUCGUCAGACCUGCAAGACCAAGGGAAUGGGGGCCCCAAGGAGCAAGUUGGAAGGGAAAACUGGUGUGAGUGGGAAGAAGUAGAGAGUCUGAGACCUGUGGAGUGUCGGUUGUGGUGGUUAAUCGAUUGUCUGGUCACCUUUGGAAAUUCAGGACUGGUGCUUGGAUAGAAGGUCAUUCCCUAGGACAAUUUGGUCACUGCUAUUCUAGAGGUGGAGUGUGAAAUUAUGACAUGGAGACACUUCCCAGAGCCAGAAUUGAGAUCACCACAAUGCCAGGCUGCCCCUCCAACCUGUCCCUGAGGGUCACGCUGGGCACAUCUCACAGAGUGGCAGGUGCCGGUAAAAGGGAAGGACACGAAAUCACACUUUCCCACUUCCCUCUAUGUUACCCCCAGACAGCAGCAAGGGCUCACUCAGUUGUGAGACAGAACAUUCUUCCAUUUCCCAUCCCGGCAUCCUAAACAGACCGUGUCUUGACCUACAUGAACUUACAGAUACCCAGGCAGCCACUUUGAGGAGCACAGGAAAGACACCCCUAGCCAACUGCCUUCUCUACACCAUCACCAUCAUCCUUGAACUUCAGUAUUUGAGAAAUCCUUCUUUGGGUUAAACAUUUCAAAGAAUUAAAGAAAAUCUCAUUUUGUACCACAAUUUUCACAAUUUUGCUUAGGGCUGGUUCAGGGUCUUUUUUCCAAAGUCUGUGCUGAUUUCAAAAUCCAAAAAUAGCUACUAUUACAAAAAAACAAAAAAAACUCAGGAUUUAUUUCCUUCCUUGAGCUAAGACUUAAAACAAAAUGAAUCACACUCAUGGUUAAGUGCGGUGUAGCCUUUUCUCCCCAGAGACCUGGGCCUUGGGUCAGAGUUUUUGGUCAGCUUCCUACUGGUCAGCCUCCUGCCGAUGCCCACCGCCGGGGGUCGCCGGCUCUCUUUUGCUUCUUGGGGCCUUCCGUGGUCCCCCCUGAGUCAGGAGGGAGGGAAGGGGCGGCGAUGAGAAUAGGGAAGGAAGAAGGGGAAGGUGGGGAGCUGAGGGUUGAGGAAUCUCAAGAAAAACAGAUUUUAUAUGUUGUUACUCUUGGGCUCCA